UUUUAGCCCCGAUAGAAGCGGCAUCCUUUGGGGCGGCGUGAGGCGACGGAGCGGCGCACAAAAGAUAGAGCGGAUAGCGGGAAAAGCU
rnacentral:sRNA from 1 species